AUGAAAUUUUUCCAUUAAGAGAAACACACGACUUAAUUCCUUUAUACAUAUUAUGAAUUACACGAAAACAUUUUCCUUCAAGAUUAGAUUUUAACAUUUUAAGCCACAAGCUGCAUCUGUCUAUAGUAUCAAAUGCCUUACUGAAGUGUACAAAUGCACAGAACAGUUUUUUGUUUUCGGCUAAAUAUAUAUCUAUUAGCGAUUUUAAAAUAAAUAUGUUAUCCAUUGUUGAAUGAUUGUUUCUGAAGCCUGACUGGUUGUCAUUAAGCAGCUUAAUUGAAUCAGCGAACAUUUGUAAGCGACACGAAAUAAUUGAGGUGAAAAGCUUGCCAAGAAGCUGUGUACACAGUGUUCUUGCGAGUUACAAUUACGCGUCCGGUUUGGCGGCAACUUCAAAGAGUGGACAUAUGGUUGCUCCUUCAGGUAGCUAUAAUUACCCUCUCUAUAAUGCAAUAUCGUAUUAUCCAUUUGUAAUGAAUGAUAGUAACACUUAAUCGGAUUGGAUUCAGUUAAAUCUACAUUUCUCAAGGUCUCUAACAUCGAGAUUUGAAAUAUCUUUCAUGUAAAUACCUUCUUUGUCAUGUGACUUGUAUAUAAUCAUGUAUAUUCAGAAUCGUACCUUCGCACAAUGUCUUUGCACAAUGGCACAAGCAACGUGUUCUCUUUCUGUAAAAAAUAGCACUCUUUAUUUCAGCCACAGCAAAGAUCCCGAACCACGUGCAGUCAGCAGAGUUACAGCGUCUGGUUACCGUCUUGCAGUUACGAUACAGAAUAUGUGCACAUAGCUUUCAAUGACCAGACGAAAAAAGAAUUCAUUUCAAGUAUGUUGAGAAGAAAACGACCCAUCACUGAAAAAAUCAUCUCACCCAAGAAAUGAGAAUGAAAAGUGCAAAGUCUCCCAAGGAAUUGUCUUGUAAUAAAGCAUGUGAAUAAAUAAUUUUUUGAAAUA